rnacentral:tRNA from 1 species
GCGUACGUGGCGGAAUUGGUAGACGCGUUAGGUUGAGGGCCUAAUGACUUAAUUAGUUGUGGAAGUUCGAGUCUUCUCGUACGCA